CGGUGGUGCUCGUUGUAGAGUUGAGAGCGACUUGAGAAAGUAUUGUCUAUGUGAGGAUGAUUCUUGGGAUCGAUCAGUUGUGGGUUGUGGAGGAUGACUCGCUGAUAAUAAUAAUUUGGAUGUAAGGGUCUCGAGGUUGCAUGGCUAUUUGUAAUCCUCUGGGUGUAACAUCCAGAGUUUGUCGUGAAAAGAAAAAAAAAGAAAAGAAAAAAAAGAAUAAGAA
rnacentral:lncRNA from 1 species